GGCCGACUAGCUCAGUUGGUUAGAGCGUCGUGCUAAUAUAAGCAAGUUCUCACAUGUUAACGCGAAGGUCUUGGGUUCGAUCCCCACGUUGGCCA
rfam:Moniliophthora roreri MCA 2997 sctg_0164_0002, whole genome shotgun sequence.